UACGAAGGGGGCUAGCGUUGCUCGGAAUUACUGGGCGUAAAGGGCGCGUAGGCGGAUGUUUAAGUCAGAGGUGAAAGCCCAGGGCUCAACCUUGGAACUGCCUUUGAUACUGGGCAUCUUGAGUAUGGGAGAGGUGAGUGGAACUCCGAGUGUAGAGGUGAAAUUCGUAGAUAUUCGGAAGAUCACCAGUGGCGAAGGCGACUCACUGGCCCAUUACUGACGCUGAGGCGCGAAAGCGUGGGGAGCAAACAGG
rnacentral:rRNA from 1 species